rnacentral:rRNA from 1 species
UACGAAGGGUGCAAGCGUUAAUCGGAAUUACUGGGCGUAAAGCGUGCGUAGGCGGUUGUUUAAGUCUGCUGUGAAAUCCCCGGGCUCAACCUGGGAAUGGCAGUGGAUACUGGGCAGCUAGAGUGUGAUAGAGGAUGGUGGAAUUCCCGGUGUAGCGGUGAAAUGCGUAGAGAUCGGGAGGAACAUCAGUGGCGAAGGCGGCCAUCUGGAUCAACACUGACGCUGAGGCACGAAAGCGUGGGGAGCAAACAGG